ACCUGGGAGGCUCAGUCGGUUGAGCGUCUGACUUUGGCUCAGGUCACGAUCUCACAGUUCGUGGGUUCGAUUCCUGCAUCAGGCU
rnacentral:tRNA from 1 species